rnacentral:tRNA from 1 species
GAUAGGUGGCUGAGUGGUCGAAAGCUCUGGUCUUGAAAACCAGCGAGGGGCAACUCUCCGGGGGUUCGAAUCCCUCCCUAUCC